UAUCGCGUGAUCCAAAAGGUUUGAUAACCUGCAAAAACACCCCAUAUAAUACCCUUCCCAUCUUCAAAAUCACCGCCAAUCUAUUUUGCAAUCCUUGAAUUACAAACUAGAAAUUUGUGCAGUCAGAGAGAAUGCCUUCUGAUCCAAUGCUUAACGCUCCAGCUUGUUCCCUCUCCAAGGAUUUGGGCAAGAAAAAGAGGCCAAGAGGAGUGAUCAUUCACAUGUUAUCAAUGCUAUACUAGUCAAUCUGGAACUGAUGAAUUUGCUGAAGUGCUUUUGACGGUGAAUACACCUUUCAAAUGGGGUCUGAGUAUCCAGCAGGUUGAUAUUGCUACUGGAAAAGCAAUGUCAAAGCAAAUGCUCCAGUUAAGGAAAUAGCUAUAUGCAAUAUAAGGAAGUAUUUCAUGUCUGGCUUCGGAAUUGGAUUUAUCAGAAAGAAAAAUAGUCUUGUACACAAGCUCGAUAAUAUACAUUCUUUGCAGAAGAGAGUUUUUCCGUCUGACUUGAACUGGCUGGCUUGUACUGGGUCUUGUGGGUUGAAGGAAGAUCUCCAAUUAUUCAAGAGACCAGUCCUGUUUGCGAUCACAAACCCUUCAAUAUAAUCAAAUGUGUUUUCUACAGAUAUCAAAUGCUCCUGGUCCGUGGCAAAUGUAUUGAAAUCAGAGUGCUCGUUCCAGUGAUAUUCUGGCCCUUGUGAUGAUGCCAAACUGACCUAGUCCUCCAAGGACACUGUGAAAGAGGUCACUAUUCUGCUUCUCUGAACAGUUCACAAUCUCCCCUUUUCCUGCACUCAGUUUCAGCCCAAUUUUUAACCUGUAACUACUUCCAGCUGAUGGACAUUACUUAUCUGGGGGCCAUGCCGAAAGGCCUGCCCGCUGAUCCCAGCAUUUGACAAAGUACCACCAACAGUUAAAUGCAGGUAGUCUGUCCAAGAUUUUGGUGCUAACCCAUAU